AAGCUCUCAAAUCCUGAAUAGUUUUUGGGCUACGUUGAAACUCAAAGAUAAUAUUUAUUUGAAGCUAUCCGGAUAUUUAAUGGCUAAACAUCCAGGUUUGUUCAAAAUGAUUGCUUGUUGUGGCAAGGGUUGUGAAGUAUGGUGGAAGAGAGUAGAAGAACCAGGUCUUGAAGAUUAUGGAACAUCGAAGGAAUUGAUUAUUAAAUCCAAAUUAUGCACUGCGAUUAGAAGCAGGAACCCCAAGCAAGUCAAGAUCUUACUUAUUGCAUGCCAUGUGUACUAUCUUGAGAUGUAUACGAC